AGCAGCCGCGGUAAUUCCAGCUCCAAUAGCGUAUAUUAAAGUUGUUGCAGUUAAAAGCUCGUAGUUGAAUUUCGGGAUCAAUACGUCGGUCGUGCUUUCGGGUACGUACUGGCGUCAUUGGUUUCUCCUUUCUGACGAACCAUGAUGUCAUUAAUUUGGUGUUAUGGGGAGUUAGGACUGUUACUUUGAAAAAAUUAGAGUGUUUAAAGCAGGCAUUAGCUUGAAUACAUUAGCAUGGAAUAAUGAAAUAGGACGUUCGAUCCUAUUUUGUUGGUUUCUAGGAUCAACGUAAUGAUUAAUAGGGAUAGUUGGGGGCAUUAGUAUUCGAUUGUCAGAGGUGAAAUUCUUGGAUUAUUGAAGACUAACUACUGCGAAAGCAUUUGCCAAGGAUGUUUUCAUUAAUCAAGAACGAAAGUUAGGGGAUCGAAGACGAUCAGAUACCGUCGUAGUCUUAACCAUAAACUAUGCCGACUAGGGAUCGGGCGAUGUUGUUUCCAUGACUCGCUCGGCACCUUAUGGG
rnacentral:misc_RNA from 1 species